UUCCCCUUCGGGGGACAAAGUGACAGGUGGUGCAUGGUUGUCGUCAGCUCGUGUCGUGAGAUGUUGGGUUAAGUCCCGCAACGAGCGCAACCCUUAAGCUUAGUUGCCAUCAUUAAGUUGGGCACUCUAAGUUGACUGCCGGUGACAAACCGGAGGAAGGGGGGGAUGACGUCAAAUCAUCAUGCCCCUUAUGAUUUGGGCUACAC
rnacentral:rRNA from 1 species